AAAUUGAGCCUCUGUCUCUUUAAAUAUUCUUGCUUUUUCUGAAACUCCGCCUUCAGGAAGUCAUCACAUAUCUUCUCUAUUAACCUUUAAGUAACGAUUGUACUAAGAAGCAGCUUGUAUGAUGAGCUCAGAAGAUGUGUGGCUCCACCAGGUGUUUGCUAAUUGCUGCUUUUAACAGAGCUGAUCAGGGGAGUGCUGCUUUGUGAGGCAGAAGCUCUGUAUCAGUGUUGCCAAACUGGGUGGGUUUCCACUCAAUUGUGCCUUUUUCAACACAUUUAACUGGAAAGAAACAAAAUUGGGCAGGUUGUUAAAAUUUGGACUGCUUUUUGCAAGAUUUGGCAGAGUUUUAGAAAGUGUUCUUAGGAAAAUUCUGAAUUCUUUCAAAUGUCCUUGCACAGCAGAAACUUGAAUAAAAUGCAGUCUUAUUGCACUUAUCUUAUUAACUUAUUUUGAAAUCUCUAGAAUCUGUCGAAGAUUUCUCAAACAUGCAUGAAACUGAUGUGGCAACAUUGCAAGUAUGUUUUUGAUGAGAGAAUAAUAUGAUAACAUGAUGUAAAGCUCAAAAAACUUCAUUUUACAUGAUAUUCUCUUUGGCAACGAGAAUCAUGAGAUACUGAAAUAUCCCAAUGCAAAAGGGCAGACUUUUUAUGUCACCCUCUACAUCAGGUUCUGUUUGUGUAUUUGAUGUGUCACUAAUCCUUUUGAAUCCAUUUGAAUCUGAGAGAAAUGUGUCCGUUUUUAAUUGUCUUUUUUGUCCUUGUUUCAAAUUGUAGAGCUCAGAUGACAAACUUUUUGCCAGAUUUAUCAGCACCUCGUUGUUUGUUCGCUGGGACGGACAAUAAACACGUGACUACACAAAUCAUAUGUGGCCAUUGUUCUACGAACACGUCAGAGCCAAAUCUACAUCAGAUUUUGAGAAAUGAGGCCCUAAGUGUUUAUGAGUGUUUUUUUUUUUCCCCCAGAAACUAAAGGUUCUAUACACCUGGGCCAUGGAGAAUUGCAACAAUACCAGGACACAGAAAAGACAGCUUUUACUUUCCUAUCAGGAACAAAAUGAGGACAAGGGAGCAGAAGGAGAGCAACAUGGCUGACAUGAUGGAGAACCGUCAGAACACCUGGAUCUCCUUCAGGAGGAAGCAGCUACCAGCAGAGAUGGCAGAGCAACAAGGAGAGUUGAGACAAACAAAAGAAAAAUAAAAAAAUUAAAGUUGUUGUGUCUCAGUGAA